UCGGAGUGUCCGCGUGGUGCGCACCGCCUCCUGGCGCUUGCGCACUGAGCGGCCGAAGGCUGGGCGGGAAGGAAAAACGCCGGGCGCUGUAAUGGCGUAUGUGUUCACUUCAGGGUCACACUAACCCGACGCCGGGGGUUGAAGGCGGUGAGAUUGAACGGGAAAGUUCGUCUCACUCUUACCACCUCUCCAUUAGUUGCUGGGCCCCGCGCCGGACUCUCGGGAUGGAAAGAUUAAUAAUAAACGACUGAAAGUGUUGUUAAGAAAACAGCCACCAUACUGUGAGAGGCCAGAGCUACGUGAAGAGGUGCAAUGAUUGACAACCCCUGCUGAACUCCCAGCCAACAGCCGGCAUCAUCUGCCAGCCCCGUCUGUGAGCCAUCUUGGACAUCCAUCCCUGUCGAGCCUUCAGAUGGCUGCAGCCCCAGCUUCUAAUGACUGCAACCACAUGUGAGACCCCAGACUCAACCUUGACUCCUGACUAGGGAGAAAGGCCUUGCAAUCUACUUCCAAAAAUGAGCCAGUGAAAACCCUACAGAUCACAACAGAAUAUUGUCUGAUAUAGUGCCGGC